rnacentral:misc_RNA from 1 species
GAUGAAGAACGCAGCGAAAUGCGAUACGUAAUGUGAAUUGCAGAAUUCAGUGAAUCAUCGAGUCUUUGAACGCACAUUGCGCCCCCUGGUAUUCCGGGGGGCAUGCCUGUCCGAGCGUCAUUGCUGCCCUCAAGCACGGCUUGUGUGUUGGGCCUCCGUCCUCCUCCCGGGGGACGGGCCCGAAAGGCAGCGGCGGCACCGCGUCCGGUCCUCGAGCGUAUGGGGCUUCGUCACCCGCUCUUGUAGGCCCGGCCGGCGCUUGCCGACACAUCAAUCUUUUUUCCAGGUUGACCUCGGAUCAGGUAGGGAUACCCGCUAACUUAAGCAUAUCAAUAAGCGGAGGA